UGCACCCCCAGCCCCGUCUCCCCCCACCGCAACUUUUCAUGCAUCUCGAGACCAGACGGAGCCAGCGAAUAUCCUUGAAAAUCUUACCUUGGAUGUGUGCGAAGGUAAAAUGUAAAAGCAGGAUCUUGACAGGUGCACCUGAAGACAGCACUGUAAACGGAUCAAAAAUGUCCCCCGAUGUCAGCCUAGCGAUAAACAGUCCUGUACACGGAGCGCUCAUUCCUCGGAUUAAAGUCACGCACCGGGCGAUGCGCUUCAAGCUGCCUUCCGAUGAUCGCCUUGCACAAGACGGCUGCAUCCAAACAUGCGGCAUUCUCCAAUAAAGUGUCACCUACUGGAUGUCAUCAUGAAGAAGGACUCAGGCGCAAGUCAUCUGGAAUUCCUGCACUCGAGAACAUCGAACCUUUCCGGGGUUUUCUUGGGCGAAUGUGUCGCUUUUUUCGGCUGUGCGGGGGACGGACUAACUUUUGGAAAGAUCUGAAAUGCUUCAGGCUGCCUUAAAGUUAUCGUGUGAAACAAAGACUUUCUUGCUCAAAGUA